GCAUUUUUUUCUCUCGUGUAAUUUGUAGAAAUGCUGACGGAGCUGUCGAGAAGAGAGAAAGCAGCAAACAUCAAGCUAGAUUCCGACGUAGAUGUCUACAUGAAGAUUGCUGCCAACCUACGCAGUCAGCUUUGAAAACUUUUAGGAGGGCAAAAUCAAAGAUAUCGGAGUGGGCUUAUGGAUUGUUAGGGUGGUGGUGGUGUUUUUUUCUAGUUUUUUUAUUUUUAUUUUUUGGGUAUUUUCCUUGGCUUGUAAAUAGUAGUAAAUUGUUGGUAUUGCUAGGUUUUGUGGCUGGUUGUUUUCUCAGUCGUAGAUUUCAGGCUCUUUUUCCAAAGGCUGUGAUGAUGGUUUGGACUUU